UACGUAGGUGGCGAGCGUUAAUCGGAUUUACUGGGCGUAAAGGGUCCGUAGGGGGUCUGCCAAGUCGGCUGUGAAAUGCCGCGGCUCAACCGCGGCACUGCACUCGAUACUGGCGGGCUUGAGUCCGCGAGGGGUGAACGGAAUUCCUGGUGUAGCGGUGGAAUGCGUAGAUAUCAGGAAGAACGCCGAUGGCGAAAGCGGUUCACUGGCGCGGCACUGACCCUGAGGGACGAAAGCGUGGGUAGCAAAC
rnacentral:rRNA from 1 species